GAUGAACGCUAGCGGCAGGCUUAACACAUGCAAGUCGAGGGGUAUAGGUUUUCGGACCUAGAGACCGGCGCACGGGUGCGUAACGCGUAUGCAAUCUACCUUUCACAGAGGGAUAGCCCAGAGAAAUUUGGAUUAAUACCUCAUAGUAUAGCAGUUUCGCAUGAAACCACUAUUAAAGUAUCAACGGUGAAAGAUGAGCAUGCGUCCCAUUAGCUAGAUGGUAAGGUAACGGCUUACCAUGGCUACGAUGGGUAGGGGUCCUGAGAGGGAGAGCCCCCACACUGGUACUGAGACACGGACCAGACUCCUACGGGAGGCAGCAGUGAGGAAUAGUGGUCAAUGGACGCAAGUCUGAACCAGCCAUGCCGCGUGCAGGAUGACGGUCCUAUGGAUUGUAAACUGCUUUUGUACGAGAAGAAACAACAUUACGUGUAAUGUCUUGACGGCAUCGUAAGAAUAAGGAUCGGCUAACUCCGUGCCAGCCGCCGCGGUAAGAC
rnacentral:rRNA from 1 species